rnacentral:rRNA from 1 species
CUCACAUUAAUCAAGAUGAUGAUGUGUAGGCAUGGAACUACCCUCAGCUGAUGAUCAGCUAGUGCUCAGUCACCGCCCGAUCCAUGGGUCUACCUGUACGAUGAGGAAGAUGUUCAUGGUGGCGGGCGCUGCUUUGUUGCUAGCCGCCGCCGCCGUCUGCUCCUCGGCGGACGGCGAGAGCGAGGCUCGCCGUCGCGCAGUCCCCGCGGUGUACGUGUUCGGCGACUCCCUCGUGGACGUCGGCAACAACGACUUCCUGCCGCCGCCGGCGCCCAGGGCGGGUUUCCCCUGCGGCGUCGACCUGCCGCGCGCGAUCCCCGGCGGACGGACCGGGAGGUUUACCAACGGCUACAACCUGGCCGACAUCAUCGGGGAACGGCACGAUCACCCUCCGAGAACAGAUCAAGCUGUUUGCAGACACCAAGGUGACCAUGAUCGAGGCCAACAAGCUGGGAAAUAAUAGGGUCAAUCGCUUGCUGUCCCGGUCCCUAUUCCUCAUCAGCACCGCAGGCACGAUUUCUCGGCAUUUAGUGACGGUAGGGCAACCAGAAGUGAUGCAUCGGCCUACAUCGCCAAAACGGUCACCACCUACCUCAAGCACAUCAAGGAGUUGUACAGGCUGGGGGCACGGAGGCUAGGACUGCUGGACGCGCUGCCCAUCGGAUGCUUGCCGGGCUGCAGAAUUUCCUUUGGACAUGAUGGCACGUGUGACACCACUGCCAACUCUCUGGCCCGGCGGUUCAAUGCCCUACUCCGGCUUGAAAUGGCCAGCGCCACGGCAGCUUCGAUGCCAGGCAUGGAGUACUCCAUCGCCAGCAUCUACGGCAUCUUCUCCGACAUGAUCACCAACCCGGAGCUGGACAACGGACUGCAGGAGGCGACUAGCGCGUGCUGCGGAGGAGGGAGGCUCAACGCGGAGCUCAACUGCUCGGCGAGCUCGAACCUUUGCACCGACCGCGACGGCUACGUGUUCUGGGACAAGGUCCAUGGGACGCAGGCCGCCUACCAGCGAGCCGUUGCCGCCAUGUUCGACGGCGCGGCGGCGACAAAGUUCACGGAGCCCGUCAGCUUCGGGCAGUUGAUCACCGGGAAACAGGCAGCGCCGGUUGCCGUGUUAGAUAAACUGGAGCGUCCGUGCGUGGAUUUGGAAGCUGUGAUCUAGCCAAGGGAAGGGAAUUCGGAGGAUUCUUCCGCAGUGUUCGGUGCAGUACAUCUUCAACUCUGUUGAGCCAUCACCAGGCAGCAAGCCUGGUAAGCUAUCUCAAAAAACAAAAACUCUGUUGAGCCACGGAUGUCAUUCCUGCCACAGCAACCAUCGAAAUUAAGGGUCUCUUUGAUUCAAAGGAUUUUCAUGGGAUUUUUGAAGGAUUAUAAUCCUUAGGAAUUUUUCCUACAUUCGUCGUUUGAUUCGUAGGAUUGAAUCCUAUAGGAUUUUUUCCUAAGGAUUCAUUUGUACUACAUUUCACAGGAAUUCUAACAUCCACUCAAACCUCUUGGAAGAAAUCCUUUGUUUUUCCCGUGACACAAUCAAACAAACACAAAUCCCAUAGGGAUCCAAUGGACAUGCCAUUCCGAUCCUACAUUUUCCCUAUUCUUGUCCUUUUGCAAUCCUAUGAAUCAAAGAGGCCCUAAGGUGGAACUACAUGCGAUCUCUAGGAGUUAGGGUGUUGUAUGUCCGCGCGUCCAAAGUCCAAACUACCCCUCGCCUCGAUGUUCCCUCUCUUAUGUCUCUUGCAUUAACUUAAUCAAAUCAUACUAAAACCUUAACUAAAUUGAAACUUUUCUCAUCUUCC